CUAGUCACUACUGGAGCAGCAUUAGCAAAUUCGGCAAUUGGGCCAUGCUGAGCCAGCAUGAGCAUGAGCAUAAUGGCCUUAGGGUGUACCUCAUCGUACCGUACUGAUUCUCUCGUACGAUGCUCGGACUGCACUGUAACCUAGGGAUAAGCAUCGGACUACUCGUGCGAGCACCGGCGGUUACUACGUAGCAUCUAGCUAUAGCUGCAUUCAUGGCGUUUACAGGGUGCGUAGACUGAUGAGUAAGUCACUAAAGAAAGCCUCCACCCCUAACCGUAGAAUUGCCAUUGAUACUGUUUUUCUUUCGUAUAGUUGAAGUGGGCGCAAUGUGUAAUGUAGCGGUGAAAUGCUUAGAUAUGACCCAGAUCUCCGAUCGCGAAUGCAGCUCACUAAAUGCUGUUACCUGACGCUUGAAGCAUCGAAAGCGUGGGGAGCAACAGGAUAGAUACCUGUAGUCACGCUGUAAACGAUGAUCACUCGUUGUUGCCGAUACACCGUCAGCGACUGAGCGAAAGCAAUAAGUGAUCCACCUGGGGAGUACGGUCGCAAGACUGAAACUCAAAGGAAUUGACGGGGGCCCGCACAAGCGGAGGAACAUGUGGUUUAAUUCGAUGAUUCGCGAGGAACCUUACCUGGGCUUGAAAGGGGAACGACCUCCCGCGAAACCGGGAUUCUCUUCGGAGCGGUCUCCUAGGUGCUGCAUGGUUGUCGUCAGCUCGUGCCGUGAGGUGUCGGGUUAAGUCCCAUAACGAGCGCAACCCCUAUUGUUAGUUGCCAGCGGGUAAUGCCGGGAACUCUAACGAAACUGCCGGUGUAAACCGAGAGGAAGGUGGGGAUGGCGUCAAAUCAGCACGGCCCUUAUGUCCAGGGCUACCCACGUGUUACAAUGGCAGGUACAAAGGGCAGCUAUGCCGCGAGGCAAUGCUAAUCUCGAAAACCUGUCUCAGUUCGGAUCGAAGUCUGCAACUCGACUUCGUGAAGCUGGAUUCGCUAGUAAUCGCGCAUCAGCAACGGCGCGGUGAAUACGUUCCCGGGCCUUGUACACACCGCCCGUCAAGCCAUGGAAGCUGGGGGUACCUGAAGUCUGCAACCGCAAGGACGCGGCCCUAAGGGGAAAAACCCCU
rnacentral:rRNA from 1 species